GAUGAAGAACGUAGCGAAAUGCGAUAACUAAUGUGAAUUGCAGAAUUCAGUGAAUCAUCGAGUCUUUGAACGCACAUUGCGCCCUCUGGUAUUCCGGAGGGCAUGCCUGUCCGAGCGUCAUUGCUGCCCUCCAGCCCGGCUGGUGUGUUGGGCCCCGUCCCCCUUCCCGGGGGGACGGGCCCGAAAGGCAGCGGCGGCACCGCGUCCGGUCCUCGAGCGUAUGGGGCUUUGUCACCCGCUCUUGUAGGCCCGGCCGGCGCCAGCCGACCCCCUCAAUCUAUUUUUCAGGUUGACCUCGGAUCAGGUAGGGAUACCCGCUGAACUUAAGCAUAUCAAUAAGCGAAGGA
rnacentral:misc_RNA from 1 species